rnacentral:rRNA from 1 species
AACGAACGCUGGCGGCAGGCCUAACACAUGCAAGUCGAGCGCCCCGCAAGGGGAGCGGCAGACGGGUGAGUAACGCGUGGGAAUCUACCCAUCUCUACGGAAUAACGCAUGGAAACGUGUGCUAAUACCGUAUACGUCCUUCGGGAGAAAGAUUUAUCGGAGAUGGAUGAGCCCGCGUUGGAUUAGCUAGUUGGGGGGGUAAAGGCCUACCAAGGCGACGAUCCAUAGCUGGUCUGAGAGGAUGAUCAGCCACACUGGGACUGAGACACGGCCCAGACUCCUACGGGAGGCAGCAGUGGGGAAUAUUGGACAAUGGGCGCAAGCCUGAUCCAGCCAUGCCGCGUGAGUGAUGAAGGCCCUAGGGUUGUAAAGCUCUUUCACCGGUGAAGAUAAUGACGUUAACCGGAGAAGAAGCCCCGGCUAACUUCGUGCCAGCCGCCGCCGUAAGAC